UCAAUUAGUCGGUCAGUCAAUCAGUUGGUUGGUUGGUUGAUCAGUCAAUUAGUCGGUCGAUUAGUCGGUUGGUUGGUUGGCUGGUCAAUUAGUC